AGGAAAGCCCCGCAGAUGUGUUUCAUAACUGCCUCUUUAUCUCUGGGACGGGAUGGGCAGGCUGAGCCCGAAUUAACCCUUUGGCAGGUGGAAGGCAUGGGGACAGUGAUGGUGGGCAUGCUGGUUGUUUUUCCUCGUUUGGGGAUCAAGAAGGCUUCUCCUGGGCUAUUAUUCCAGCAUGGUUAACUGCAUUUGUCAAUAAGAUGGUGUAUAUUUUGCCCAUCUUCAGCUAGGCAAACUGUUGAUUAACUUUAUAUAUAUAUGUAUUCAUCUAUAAAGGAUUUCAGGCUCGUGUACGUGAACAAAAACACUGAAACAAGUGAGAAAGCAGCAGAGAAACAACGCAAAGAGGAGCAGUGACCUGCGAUCGUACACCCAGAACAAAUCCUCUGCUGCGGAACUCACACUGUCUGCGAGGUCUCUGCAGGUGCACUGCGCUGUUGCUGCCGCAGUGUGCCAUCAUUUCCUGUGUGACAGUCUUUAAGACCACCACAAGUAGGGUAAAUACACCGUUCCUCAUCACGCCGGACAAGUUAAUGACACAGCUGGUUGCAGAAAGGAGCUUGUAACGUUGCGCCGAGCUGAAGAAACACCGCCUGUUAUGUGUAGCACGGAAGAGGAAUGAGGAUCCACUGCAUGAUUCCAUCAGUCUACAAUUCUAUGAUUCAACAUUUUUCUUUGCUUUGGUUGCUUUUCUUCCCCAUUUAUGCAUAUGGAACAACUUUCCCUGUUGGUCAGCUGCUGUGGCUGCAGAUAGGAGCAAGAAGGGAGCUGGAGCAGAGCAAGGGCAGGGAAAAUUGGUCCAAUUCAGUGACAGUUCCAGCCUCAAACACGGGUAGCUCUGUGUGUCUCCUGCUAUCAGUCUGUGCUACUCCUGCAGCAAGCUGGAUCCAUGACAUUGCCAGUGCUUUGGGGUGCU
ensembl:lncRNA